rnacentral:rRNA from 1 species
ACCUCGGAUCAGGUAGGGAUACCCGCUGAACUUANGCAUAUCAAUAAGCGGAGGA